CUGGAAUCCUGGAACUCCACACAAAGGCACCUGUUGUCCUGACAACCCCUGAGGCGUAGGGGAGAAGCAGUGGGGAGGCCCUUCCAUUUUUCUAUCAUGUGUCUGUCAGGAGGGGAACAAGAUUACGAAAUUGUGAGCAAAUUUGCUUCAAAUCCCUUGUGGAACAAGGCAGGGUGCAAACAGCCAAAUAAAACACAAAUCACAGUGAUUUCUGUGCAUCACCUCUGGUGUUGCCUUAUGAAGGAUCUCCACGGAAGAAGGCUGAAGAAUCGGUUACACAGCUGCAUACAUCCAGGGGAAGUGGAAUGAUGGACACAUCAUCAUGCUGCUCUGCCCAGCUCCUCCCUUGCCUUUCCGGUACUUGUGGUGCAGUCUUCUUUUUGGCCCCUCUGGACAAUCCUUCAACAUUCAGUAAUAGAUUUCCAAGUAGUGCAUUUAUAUUCCUAACCAGCAUCUCAGCUUGACUGGGAAAUGAAGAAAUCAGGUACAACCAGCACAAUUAACUGUGCAAAAAGUUUUUGCGCAGUCUUCCUUACAGAACAGCAUUUGUUUUCUGUACAGUGUUGAUUUCAUAGCACUCCCUUAAAGGCAUCCUUGCUGCUCAUGGAGUUCUUCCUGCUGUUCCUCUUCAGGAUUCCAUUUUGAUUCUAUCCACGGAGAGAAGUCUUGCAUCUAAAGAUACAAAAACAAACAAACAAACAAAAUCCUCUCUCUAUUCCAACAUGGCCUUGAUUUAAGAUAUGAAGAGCAAUUUGCAGGGCACAUGCUCCUGAGCUUGGAGAGUCUGUACACUCCCAUGCUCUGUUGGUAGGUCUGUUAACCAAUAAAACUAUUUUGCAAAGGAAUUGUGAAAACCUC
rnacentral:lncRNA from 1 species